UUUACGAUGGAGAGUUUGAUCCUGGCUCAGGAUGAACGCUAGCGGCAGGCCUAAUACAUGCAAGUCGGACGGGCAGCAAUG
rnacentral:rRNA from 1 species